rnacentral:rRNA from 1 species
ACCCGCUGAAACUUAAGCAUAUCAAUAAGCGGAGGMWRRRRAACUAACAAGGAUUCCCCUAGUAACUGCGAGUGAAGCGGGAAAAGCUCAAAUUUAAAAUCUGGCGGUCUCUGGCCGUCCGAGUUGUAAUCUAGAGAAGUAAUGCCCGUGCUGGACCGUGUACAAGUCUCCUGGGAUGGAGCGUCAUAGAGGGUGAGAAUCCCGUCUCUGACACGGACUACCAGUGCAUUGUGGUAUGCUCUCAACGAGUCGAGUUGUUUGGGAAUGCAGCUCAAAAUGGGUGGUAAAUUCCAUCUAAAGCUAAAUAUUGGCGAGAGACCGAUAGCGAACAAGUACCGUGAGGGAAAGAUGAAAAGAACUUUGGAAAGAGAGUUAAACAGUACGUGAAAUUGCUGAAAGGGAAACGCUUGAAGUCAGUCGCGUUGGCCAGGGAUCAGCCUUGCUCUUGCAUGGUGUACUUUCUGGUUGACGGGUCAGCAUCAAUUUUGACCGCUGGAAAAGUUCUUGGGGAAUGUGGCAGCUCCGGCUGUGUUAUAGCCCCAAGUUGCAUACGGCGGUUGGGAUUGAGGAACUCAGCACGCCGCAAGGCCGGGUUUCGACCACGUUCGUGCUUAGGAUGCUGGCAUAAUGGCUUUAAGCGACCCGUCUUGAAACACGGACCAAGGAGUCUAACAUGCCUGCGAGUGUUUGGGUGGAAAACCCGAGCGCGCAAUGAAAGUGAAAGUUGAGAUCCCUGUCGUGGGGAGCAUCGACGCCCGGACCAGAACUUUUGGGACGGAUCCGCGGUAGAGCAUGUAUGUUGGGACCCGAAAGAUGGUGAACUAUGCCUGAAUAGGGUGAAGCCAGAGGAAACUCUGGUGGAGGCUCGUAGCGAUUCUGACGUGCAAAUCGAUCGUCAAAUUUGGGUAUAGGGGCGAAAGACUAAUCGAWCCAUCYWKUWGCYGGUUCCUGCAGAAUUUUU